GUACCUGCAUAAUUCAGGUGCCGGGUCUGGAAACCUGUUUGAGUAACCGCGACAUAAUGACACGCCGCGAGCGUGUUUUUU
rnacentral:sRNA from 1 species